AUUAUGACCGCCAUUGCUGUUUACCUGUAUCGCGUGUGUGUAUAUCAUGGUGUAAUUACCUGUACGCUACCUUGCAAACCUAAUGAGGAGCAUGUUUUGAUAGUAAUUAAUCGGGAAGUAUCGGGAUGGACAGCAAAAUGCUACACUUUUUACACAAACUUCGACAAGAAUGGGGUUAUACCACCAAAGAAAACGAAACUUUUAUCCCGAUAUUUCCGAUUUUCGGGAUGACUAUCGGGAUCGUAAUUGGAUGACAACCAUGUAUAUUGCCGUGCAAUAGGGUAGACCAUGGUGGAAUGAAUGAUGUUACAAAGAACACGAAAACAGCCAUCCAUCAAGCCACCUGUUCCUACCAACUUCUUUGUGAAAUCAAAAUUGGAGCAAGAUGAAGAUGUCACAAGAGCAGAGGUCCUGUUUGCCAACUGCGUUGCAAAACUUAGUGCUUUUUGAACUGCUAUACCAUACUAUUUAUUGUUUGUUGAGAUUUUAAAGAUUGAUUUAAUAAAGAUUGAUUUAAUAUAUG
rnacentral:misc_RNA from 1 species